UCGUGGGGCUUCGGCCCUAUCGUGAUAGAACCCUUGCCUUUUGAGUACCGUCCGUUUCCUCGGCAGGCCCGCCUGCCAAUGGGGACCCCAAUAAACCCUUUUUAUGUACCUGUAUCAGUCUGAAAAACAAACAAAAGUUA
rnacentral:misc_RNA from 1 species